rnacentral:lncRNA from 1 species
AGCAAGGAAUAAUGAGAUCAUGCAACGACUUAGAAAACAAUAAUGCACAGAUUUUAACUUUCCAAAUAAACGUUUAGGCUCAAGUCUCACAAGGUUGUAGCGUUAGUUUGAGUUCCUUCCUUCAAGCAUGUUACAAAAAAAACUGAAUUUUUUCUUUUAUGAUUGCAUGUGAAUUCAUAAGUUAUAACCACAACUAAGCAUAAACAAAGAGUAAAUCAAACUUUCAUCCAUGUUAAUCACUCUCUUUAACAGCCAUGUAAUUACAAACCGAAUCCUCAUCAUUGUGUUGGAAGGUACCCUAAGACACAAACAAACACACAAAAACAACUCUUUUUGGGUUUUUAAAACAAAUUUUUCAAAUUUUUAUGUGAUUUUCGGAUUUUUGCAUCAAAACACACUAAAACACAC